CCUACGGGUGGCAGCAGUGGGGAAUAUUGCACAAUGGGGGAAACCCUGAUGCAGCGACGCCGCGUGAGCGAUGACGUCUUUCGGUAUGUAAAGCUCUAUCAGCAGGGAAGAAAAUGACGGUACCUGACUACUAAUCCCCGGCUAACUACGUGCCAGCAGCCGCGGCACUACGUAGGGGGCCAGCGUUAUCCGGAUUUACUGGGUGUUAAGGGAGCGUAGACGGCGGUGCAAGCCAGCUGUGAAAGCCCGGGGCUGCACCCCGGGACUGCAGUUGAAACUGUGCUGCUAGAGUGUCGGAGAGGCAGGCGGAAUUCGUGGUGUAGCGGUGAAAUGCGUAGAUAUUAGGAGGAACACCAGUGGCGAAGGCGGCAUGCUGGACGAUGACUGACGUUGAGGCUCGAAAGCGUGGGGAGCAAACAGGAUUAGAUACCCUUGUAGUC
rnacentral:rRNA from 1 species